rnacentral:rRNA from 1 species
CCAAUAGCGUAUAUUAAAGUUGUUGCAGUUAAAAAGCUCGUAGUUGAAUUUCGGGAUCAGUACGCUGGUCAUGCCUUUGGUAUGCACUGGUGUCACUGGUUUCUCCCUUCUGAAGAACCGUGAUGUCAUUAAUUUGGUGUCGCGGGGAAUUAGGACUGUUACUUUGAAAAAAUUAGAGUGUUUAAAGCAGGCUCACGCUUGAAUACAUUAGCAUGGAAUA